AUCCUGAUUUGGCAUGAGAUAUACUCUAAUCAAGAAGUUGGUUUUCUCAUGGUAGAGUCCAUCCACUCUGUUUAAUAUGUACUGACGGCUGACAUUUCCCCAAAUGCAAGAAAUUUAACUGCAUAACUUGUCGUAGUGGGGAACUGCAUUCAUGCUCUCAUUA
rnacentral:snRNA from 14 species